UGGGGAAUAUUGGACAAUGGGCGAAAGCCUGAUCCAGCCAUGCCGCGUGUGUGAAGAAGGCCUUAUGGUUGUAAAGCACUUUAAGCGAGGAGGAGGGUACUGGUAUUAAUACUACCAGGUACUGGACGUUACUCGCAGAAUAAGCACCGGCUAACUCUGUGCCAGCAGCCGCGGUAAUACAGAGGGUGCGAGCGUUAAUCGGAUUUACUGGGCGUAAAGCGCGCGUAGGUGGUUCGUUAAGUUGAAGAUGAAAGCCCCGGGCUCAACCUGGUGACUGCAUCCAGAACUGGCGAGCUAGAGUAGGGCAGAGGGUGGUGGAAUUUCCUGUGUAGCGGUGAAAUGCGUAGAUAUAGGAAGGAACACCAGUGGCGAAGGCGACCACCUGGACUCAUACUGACACUGAGGUGCGAAAGCGUGGGGAGCAAACAGG
rnacentral:rRNA from 1 species